AGUGAACGCUGGCGGUAGGCCUAACACAUGCAAGCCGAACGGCAGCACAGUAAGAGCUUGCUCUUACGGGUGGCGAGUGGCGGACGGGUGAGGAAUACAUCGGAAUCUACUUUUUCGUGGGGGAUAACGUAGGGAAACUUACGCUAAUACCGCAUACGACCUACGGGUGAAAGCAGGGGAUCUUCGGACCUUGCGCGAUUGAAUGAGCCGAUGUCGGAUUAGCUAGUUGGCGGGGUAAAGGCCCACCAAGGCGACGAUCCGUAGCUGGUCUGAGGGGAUGAUCAGCCACACUGGAACUGAGACACGGUCCAGACUCCUACGGGAGGCAGCAGUGGGGAAUAUUGGACAAAGGGCGCAAGCCUGAUCCAGCCAUACCGCGUGGGUGAAGAAGGCCUUCGGGUUGUAAAGCCCUUUUGUUGGGAAAGAAAAGCAGCAGGUUAAUACCCCGCUGUUCUGACGGUACCCAAAGAAUAAGCACCGGCUAACUUCGUG
rnacentral:rRNA from 1 species